rnacentral:tRNA from 1 species
GUUUUAAUAGUUUAUAAAAAACUUUGGUCUUGUAAACCAAGAAUGAAUUAAUCUAUUCUUAAAACU